AGAAUAUAAGUUAACCUCUGUAGUGACCAUGUGGAAGUCCUGACCUUGCUUGCAGACUUGACCUCUGGAUAUGACAAGGUGGCUUCAAUACAGAUCUACCAAUUAAUCUUGGAAACUAAAAACCAAAAAAAAAAAAAACAAAAAACAAAAAACAAACAAACAAACAAAAAAACUUCACAGCAAGAAAGAUACAGAAUAUUUCCUGCGAAGUCAGAAGAACCCAAUGUAUUCUGGUGGGCAAAGGAAAAUAGGGUGAAUGUUUAGUUACUUGGGGGGAGUGAGGUGUGUUUUGGUUUUGGCUUUUUGUCUUUUUUAGAUUAUAAAAUUAACUUCUUCUGCAACUUUCUCCCCUCUUCUGAAGCAUUUCAUCUGAAAAAUAAGCGAGGUUCAUUUUCUUGGCCGUUACAGCAACCUUCCUUGGUUGCUUAACUUUCUGUACAGCAGAUACAAGGUACUCCUAUCUGUGCAAUACUGGUAAUAUGACAUUGCAAAUCAAAUGGCCAACUGUGAUUCAAUUUUAUUGCAGUUUUUUUUUUUUUUUAAGGUAAAGGCAAGGGAGAGGAAAAAGACAGCUUAUUUUUUUGUUUGUUCGUUCAUUUGUUUUUCAAAUGUAUCUUAAAAGGUGAGGUUCUUCAUUCACUGAUACAGCCCCCUUACUUCUCUCGGCUCAUGAAAAGAAGUGCUGAAUCAGCGAACAGAGUGAAGGAACAAUCAAGAUGAAAUGGCUGCUGCUGAUGUGACUCUUUAGGUCACCAUCUCUCUUCCUCCUGCAAAUGCUGCAUGGCACUAAGCUUACCAGGUAACAGAGCAUGAUGAGGUCUGCACUUUUAAGGAUGCUUAUGACUUUCUGCAUGCUUACCUAUUACUGGCUCAAUACAUGUUUCUAUUGUUAAAUUCUAUCUGGGCAUUGCCUAACUUCACAGUUCAAGUAGAUAGUUUAUGUAGUAUAAAAAGAAAUGUUGUUCAAAUAUCUUGGCAGAUAAUUCUUGAUCUCAAAAAUGUACAAAUCCAUUACUAUCACCUACAUUACUAAAGAUUGAGUCUUUCUUGUUUCAGAUUAAACGAUGAUUUUGCAUCCUUAGAAAAUCCUGCUUGCAAAGUAGGCUACCCUUUAAAAACUACUAUUUCAAGGUUUAGUGAACCAAGAGACUUGGUAGAUCACAAAAUAGUUUUUAAUGCUCACUUUGGGUUGGUCACAAAAAUAAAUCAGACCGUGCAUGGUAAAUUCUACUGCUGCGUUGCUGAAACUGCUAUGGAGCAGGGCCAUUUACUGCUGUGCUCUGACGUGCUCUCCAGGAGCUGCACUCGCUCUUUAUCACAGGCUGCAGAAAUUCUGUUUUCCCUGCAUUCCCCAAAUAUGAACAUUUCUUAUGGUGUUCUUUUAAAUUAACCUUUUAAUACCACAAUAAUUAAAAGCAACUUACCAACCAUAAUGUCUUUUUAAGCUAAAUGAUGAAGCUCAAACCCAAGUGCUCACAGGCUAAGCACUAAGAACCUUUCCGUUCUUUUAAAAGUGAGACUUUAGAAAAGUUGACUGUUCUGGUAGUUUUCCUUUAUAUUAAAAAAAAUUGAAGAAUCAAAAGAACCAAACUCAUUAAAAUUAGAUAUUUAUACAUCUAUUCGAAUGGGUAUUCAACUCAAAGCACCAAAAUGCAAAAUUCAGGGAAGUAACUAAUAAAGGAAUGACAAAGAAGUUUUCAAAUAAUCAAGAAUUCUUAUCUGUGACCUUUAAAAAAAACUAACAAAAAAUUCAUCACCUUUAAAAAUUCAGUUCAUUCACACUCUAAGAAGUUCUAGUUUUCUCCCUAUUCUUUCAACUUUAGAGUCAAUCAGAAGAAGUACUAAUUGGUUAACUGGUUAAGUUUCAAUAGUAUCUAGUUUGUAAUAUCCAGUUUGUAAAAGAAUUUGCACUGAAUUCAUUACUAUCUACUUGUAGGAUCUAGAAGCAAACUACAA
rnacentral:lncRNA from 1 species